AAGAUAGAGAAAUAAAGAUAUCGUUAU
rnacentral:guide_RNA from 1 species